CCUCCGCGCGCACGGUACGCUCUGUUGUAGUUUCCACUUCACCGAAAAAUCUGCCUGGCGACUGAGCAUGCCCAGUUCAACUAGUAACCCCCAAGCCACACGAGCCUGGAAUUUUCAUUGUUUUGCUGCUCCCUAUUCGGAUUGUACCAAUAAGAAGUGUGGACCUUCAUAAGGAGGAAAAAGAGUAAGGACGGACACAUAAACUUUAUAAGCUGGAAUCUUACACCCACCCCAGCAUUUUUCAAACCGCAAGACAAAGUCAUUUAUUCUAUCACGAUUCUCACUAGGGAAGGGCGGAAAGGGAGAAUGGAAAAGAAAAAAGGGCAGAGCAUAGAAAAUAUCAGAGUGCAUUUCACAUGGUAAAGGAACAUCAUCGUGGCAGUGAUUCAGUAAAAAGUGCUGAGGAAGAAGUUAGCCUGUGGUUUAAGCCUGAAGACUUGGUUUUCUACGUUGAAACUACCUCAACCGCAUCCCAGUGGGCUCUGGAAAACGUGCAGAUUAGAUGGCAGAGCCAAUCUGUAAAGAAGUAGGUCUAAAAUAAUGUGCCCGUUUCCUGGAGAUGGGUAAGUACUGUCCCUGUUUUCACGAAGUGGAAGAAGGGGAAUUAUACAUCAUAAGGACCAGUGACUUGAUGUUGGACUGUUUUUAGGUGUAUAAACUAGUCAUUAAUAGACAAGGCCUUCAGAACUGUCUCUUCUUGGUCAUACACAUGGUGCAUCCACUGCCACAUUGGUCUUGGUUUGCCGACCUUGGACGUAAAGGCACCAGAAGUGUCACCUGAAUCUUCUCUGGUUGCUCCUACUCUUUAUGGAGGAUAUUGUCAUCCAGAUCAGUGGCCAGAGCCUGGAUGUAAUUUCCAGCCUUCAUGUCAUUCUGUCUGUUCCAGAACCAGCCUGAGAUCUUGUGUUGGCUUGGAUUCUGCAUGAUGGUGAUCACAAAUCCACCUCAUCCCCAGGGAUCCCUCUUUGUGAGUCAGCGUCUCUUUUCCUCAAAAACACGUGAACAUACAUACCGUUGCCCCACACCCUUCCUGGCAGUGAUGGCAAAGGCUGUUUCCUGCAGCCCAAUCACGCUGGUAUUGAGCACUCACAAACGCGCUGGGACUUCUCGGGAAUCACCGGACACCUGGUGAUGGUCUCCAGGCUUCCUGUGGCCGAAAGGUGUUAGAGUUUGAAAGAGUUCGUUUGGAAGCCUUGAGGUUUCAUAUACUCAUGCUUUAGGGGCUGCUGAGAUUGGUUAACUUAACUGAUCAGUGUAUGGAAAACCAUGAUCAUUGAGCCUCCCUCAUAGAAAUAUCUUCAGGGGCUGAAGACAGCCUCCCAGCCAUGCUUGCUGUCUUACUCAAGACUGAACCCAGUGCAGCCAAGGCUUCUCCAUCCGCCCUCCCAGCAAUGUCACAGAGUGCAUUCUAGAGCAGAAACCACUUGUCAUUCAACUUUGUCAUCACAAAAGUAUCUUACCCAGAGCCUGGUAAGUGUCAGGUGUGUAUUUGCAUAUUAAAAUGAAUUGAGUGGAAUCAGAGUGCAUCUACUCAUAGGUAUACUUUGGCCCAGGAUUUUAUAAGAAGCUCGUUAA